GACAGGUGGUGCAUGGUUGUCGUCAGCUCGUGUCGUGAGAUGUUGGGUUAAGUCCCGCAACGAGCGCAACCCUCGACCUUAGUUGCCAGCAUUCAGUUGGGCACUCUAAGGUGACUGCCGGCUAAAAGUCGGAGGAAGGUGGGGAUGACGUCAAAUCAUCAUGCCCCUUAUGACCUGGGCUACACACGUGCUACAAUGGGCGGUACAAAGGGUCGCGAACCCGCGAGGGGGAGCCAAUCCCAAAAAGCCGCUCUCAGUUCGGAUUGCAGGCUGCAACUCGCCUGCAUGAAGCCGGAAUCGCUAGUAAUCGCGGAUCAGCAUGCCGCCGGUGAACUACGUUCCCGAGCCUU
rnacentral:rRNA from 1 species